UGGGGAAUAUUGCGCAAUGGCCGAAAGGCUGACGCAGCGACGCCGCGUGUGGGAUGACGGCCUUCGGGUUGUAAACCACUGUCGGGGGGGGCGAAUACCUGGCUUCGAAUAGGAGACCAGGGGUGACGGUACCCCCAAAGGAAGCACCGGCUAACUCCGUGCCAGCAGCCGCGGUAAUACGGAGGGUGCGAGCGUUGUCCGGAAUCACUGGGCGUAAAGGGCGCGUAGGCGGUUGCGUAAGUCAUCUGUGAAAUCCCGGGGCUCAACUCCGGGGCCGCAGGUGAGACUGCGUGACUAGAGCACAGUAGAGGCGAGUGGAAUUCCCGGUGUAGCGGUGGAAUGCGUAGAUAUCGGGAAGAACACCGGUGGCGAAGGCGGCUCGCUGGGCUGUUGCUGACGCUGAGGCGCGAAAGCGUGGGGAGCAAACAGGAUUAGAUACCCUGGUAGUCCACGCCGUAAACGAUGGGUACUAGGCGUCGGGGGGAGCGACCCCCUCGGUGCCGUCGCUAACGCAGUAAGUACCCCGCCUGGGGAGUACGGUCGCAAGACUG
rnacentral:rRNA from 1 species